rnacentral:rRNA from 1 species
CAAUAGCGUAUAUUUAAGUUGUUGCAGUUAAAAAGCUCGUAGUUGGAUUUCGGUUAAGAGCGACCGGUCCGCCGUUUGGUGUGCACUGGUUGGUUUUAACUUCCUGUAGAGGACGUGCUCUGGGUUUAACGACCUGGACUCGGAGUCUACGUGGUUACUUUGAAAAAAUUAGAGUGUUCAAAGCGGGCUUACGCUUGAAUAUUUCAGCAUGGAAUAACACUAUAGGACUCCUGUCCUAUUUCGUUGGUCUCGGGACGGGAGUAAUGAUUAAGAGGAACAGUUGGGGGCAUUCGUAUUUCAUUGUCAGAGGUGAAAUUCUUGGAUUUAUGAAAGACGAACUUCUGCGAAAGCAUUUACCAAAGAUGUUUUCAUUAA